rnacentral:rRNA from 1 species
AUUGAACGCUGGCGGCGUGCCUUACACAUGCAAGUCGAACGGUAACAGGUUAAGCUGACGAGUGGCGAACGGGUGAGUAAUAUAUCGGAACGUGCCCAGUCGUGGGGGAUAACGUAGCGAAAGCUACGCUAAUACCGCAUACGAUCUACGGAUGAAAGCGGGGGAUCGCAAGACCUCGCGCGAUUGGAGCGGGCGAUAGCAGAUUAGGUUGUUGGUGAGGUAAAAGCUCACCAAGCCUGCGAUCUGUAGCUGGUCUGAGAGGACGACCAGCCACACUGGAACUGAGACACGGUCCAGACUCCUACGGGAGGCAGCAGUGGGGAGUUUUGGACAAUGGACGCAAGUCUGAUCCAGCAAUGCCGCGUGCAGGACGAAGGCCUUCGGGUUGUAAACUGCUUUUGUACGGAACGAAACGGUGAGCUCUAAUACAGUUUGCUAAUGACGGUACCGUAAGAAUAAGCACCGGCUAACUACGUGCCAGCCGCCGCAGUAA